UCUGUUUUGUCCUUUUGGAACUCUGAGAGCACCAGGCUCUGAAGAAGCUUGGAAGAGGAACCACAUGGAAAGAAAGAGCCAGCCCCCCUGCCAUUCUACCAUCUCACCAGAGGCCUCAGACCUAAAGCCAUGCUAGACGUCCCACCCCCAGUCAACUGAUCUGAUUUGAGCCCCUACAGGGGAGAGACCUCCCUUCUGAGUGGAUGCCGCACCUCUCCUGCUGCUGCCUGAAUGGGGAAGGCACGCAUGCAACAAAGAAGAUGAGCAUCAGAAUUUCUCUCUGAUGGCAUGGACACAGCCAGUGCUACAGAUGCCAACAUUUCUCCCAUGG